GGCAACGUGGCGGAGUGGUUAACGCGAUAGCCUCGAAACAAAGGUAGCUAUUUCCUUCGGGAGCGUCGGUUCGAAUCCGACCGUUGUCG